rnacentral:lncRNA from 1 species
AUAACACCGUAACUCUGUCCUUCCCAGUAGGGAACAUUUCCAUCAUGAUCAAUCACAAUAUGAAAAGUUUCCCCUGAGCCUUUGGUCCCACUAUUCUCUCAACAGAAACAAUUGUUGCUGUAUAACGUUGUUUAGGCUUGUAUAAGUUCAAGGGAGGCUCAGCUCAGGAGCUUCUUCCAAUUCUAAUGGGGAGACAGUCACUUUGGGUACACUCGCUUGUUGCACUGGCACUGACAUGCAUAUCACCUGACGACUUCUUGCACAGGAGCUGUUUGCUUUCAAGUCCUAAGUGAAUACUGGUGACCAUGAUUUAACCCGAAAGUUGAAGUUAGAUGCCUGCAACAUCAAGCUUAGUUUUCAUCAAAAAUACAAAUUAUAUAACCAAAACAGGUAGCUAAUAUUCAAAACAUAACAAGGUGAACAUCAUCUCUUAUUCUAACAACUGCAGUAUCAUUCCCAGACACCACUUUUGAAAUUGGUAAAACUCAGAAAUGAACACAUCACAAUACUCGAGUGUGUCCUAACAAGACACGGUCAUCAAAGCACCAUUACACUUGGAAAACCAAAAUACCACGUAAAUCAAAGCUCUAAAUGCCUAAGAUCAUAAUAUUCAGUUGCACCAGUUCUAUGUGGAAGAUCGUCUCAACCAACAACCAACAGCUUCUCUUGGAAGAAAAAUAAAACAAAACUUUCAUCUUUAACCGAUAUUUCUCAAUCCGUUACAGUCUUGUAGAUACAGAAAUGAACCAGAUCAAAUGUAUAGAAAAAAUAAUUUUUUCUAAUCUCAUUCAGAAAGAAACAUCCAUCAAUAUCGAUAAUUGCUCCCUCGAGGCGCUAUUGCACAGAAUGCAACUCACAUCUACUCAGAUCAGAAGUGAUUUUGAGCAUUUGAAACUAAACAUGUUAUUAGUCAGAAAAAUCUAACAUAUAACUACAUAUCCUUCAGACAGUUUGGUGUAUAAAUUUCAAAUUACAAAAAUCAGCAAAAGCAAUAAAAAAUUCAUAUAAUCAUGUUUCCAAGGAAAAAAGGCAAACAAAACGAAUCAGAAGAAACAACAAACCUUAAACCCUGAUCUUCUGAUAGACAAAUCACUGCCAACAGGAACAGUUACAGCCAUCUGCAAAAACCCACAAAACAAAAGUCUCAGUAUUCGUAAAUAAAAUUCUACCAAGCAACUAAGAAUCUCAAACAAAACAAAAAAUCCAACUUCGGUUAAUUCUCCAAAGACUUAUGCAUCAAUCAAAAACCCAGAUGGAAAAAAGUGGUGGGGAUAAAAACAAAGACAAAAAGGUCAAAUUUUGAAUCCAUUUGAGGUGACCCAAUUGUGCUGGGAAGCGAAAAAAGUGUCAACGUGGAGAAAACGAUGGUUACCUGUGAUACUGCCAAGUGAGCCAUGAUGAUGAGAUCAACACAUGUUUAAUUAUAUCUCACUAUCUUAUUUUUCAUAUCAUAGCGGAAGUUGUUUGGGUAAUCCUGCAGAUAUUUGGUGAAUUCAUCAUCAUAGAGGAGACUGUCAGUGUUGGCAACACCAAGGAAAAGCCAUGCUAGUCCGCCAAACUUGAAUGUAGGGACUGAUUCCAUGAACAUUCGACUAAGAUAGCCUCUAAAUGGAGCAACGCCGGUGCCGGUGCCGGUCCCAAUCAUUAUAUGGGUAGCAUUUGGGUCAUCCUCAGGCAAAAGCAUUACCUUCCCUGAAGGGCCUGCAAAGAAAAUUGUAGUAUGUAUGUGAAAACCAACACUUGUUGACAACCCAAGACGAGUUAAAUCAUCAGAAGUUUAUCUUACAAUUUUGUUAUCCAUCCUUCUAUAAAUUAGAGUGAACGUAAAAUUGCAAGUUAUUUAUCAGUUGAAAGUAAAAUUUAGAGUGAACACCCAAAGUUGUCACCGAGAAAUUUGGAAGUGGACAAAUUUCAUUUUAGUGUCAUGAGAAAACACAGAUACACAAAAACAUAGGCAUAUAUAACCAAACGCUCAAUAAUAUAAAUAGAUUCAUUUUUAUACGUUGAGCUAGACAAACCAUAAUGAAAGGGAAAAUUGGAGGAGGAAAGAAAGACCAUAAUAUUCAGUGUGUGGAAACUACACAAGGAAAAAAUCAAAUAGGUGCAAAAGUCAUGAAUAUGGACAUGUGGUUAAGAAUGAAGUACGAACAGUAAACUACCCUGUAAGGAUUUAUUUUUUAUUUAGUUUAUCACUUUUCGUUACCAUGUUCAUAUGAUAAGAGUUUGAUGUUAACCAAAGGACCAAAUGUUGGAAUCUAAGAAGAGCUAUUAAAUCGUGAAAAAUAGGCUCACUAGAUUACUAGAAUACAACAUGAAAACCUUUUGAAGUUUAGAAUUCAGGCAUACCAAAUCACCAUGUCUAUCUAAUUUCAAAUUUUCAAGUCAUUGUUCAUUACGUAAUUAGGAAACUUAAUCAAAUAUCCCCAAUUGCCCCAUCUUUUACUUAAGCAAGUUAGUAUUUUCACAUAUAGAGGCCGCCAAUGAAGUCCAAUUGAUUAACAAGCAAACAAGUAGCAGUCAACAAGGUACUCUCCUCUAGUUGGUAAAGAAAUUCCAAAAGCAAGGCACAUUCAGGCAUUAAUUUGAGGAGACAUGGCCAUUGUAAAGCUGUCACAUCACACUUUUGAUAAGGUGUGUAGGGAAANNNNNNNNNNNNNNNNNNNNNNNNNNNNNNNNNNNNNNNNNNNNAAUGAAAGAAGUUAGAAGUCAUUUCAAGCUUCGAUGGUGCAAAAAAGUGUUUGCUUUACCUGUGACCUGAACUUUGUCUCCAGGCUUUGAGUUACACAAGAAGUUGCUACAAAUGCCAUUCUUAGAUGGAUCUUCCUUUCCUGUCUCAGGAUCAUAAUAAACAGCUCGACGCACACACAAACUAGCUGUUUUGCCAUCAAAAGAAUCUCCAUAUCUUGUGGACGCAAUUGAAUAGAGUCGAACAUUAUGGGGACUCCCAGGUUUCUUCGGAUUUUCACCCUGCCACCCAUGUACAAGAGCAUUUAUGAGUUGUAAAGUCAUUUCAGCAUUAACUGCAUGAACUCCUAUAUCUGAUCCCAGAAAAAAGAAAGGAUAAAAAUCUUCUAUGUGAAUUAACAAACUGAAAAGACAUCACUAGUUUUCAGAUCUACUGUGAAGGCAAGGCAGAACCAGGUAAAGUUCUACCAAUGGCCAAUAAUAUUAAACUUUGAAUACGAAGGACAUUUCACAUUUGGUUGGAUGUUGUAAGAUAUCCAAAACAAGGUCCUUUCAUCGAAAUUAAUUCACCAAAUAUUCAGAAGCCAAAGAUCAAUCAUAAUGGAUUCACAUCCACUAAUCAGAUACAAUGAGGAGCGGAAGCAUAAAAUGAGUAUCACUAACAACAAGUCACUUACCGGUGGAAUAACACCAUAACUCUGUCCUUCCCAGUAGGGAACAUUUCCUCGAUGAUCAAUCACAAUUAUGCUCUCAACAGAGACAAUUGUUGCUGUAUAAGGUUGUUUAGGCUUGUGUAAGUUCAAGGGAGGCUCGGGAGCUUCUUUCAAUUCUAAUGGGGAGACAGUAACUUAGGGCACACUCGUUUGUUGCACUGGCACUGACAUGCAUAUCAC